CCUACGGGUGGCAGCAGUGGGGAAUAUUGCGCAAUGGGCGCAAGCCUGACACAGCGACGCCGCGUGAAGGAUGACUGCCCUAUGGGUUGUAAACUUCUUUUAUAUGGGAAUAAAAUGUUCCACGUGUGGGUUUUUGUAUGUACCAUAUGAAUAAGGAUCGGCUAACUCCGUGCCAGCAGCCGCGGUAAUACGGAGGAUCCGAGCGUUAUCCGGAUUUAUUGGGUUUAAAGGGAGCGUAGGUGGAUUGUUAAGUCAGGUGUGAAAGUUUGCGGCUCAACCGUAAAAUUGCAGUUGAUACUGGCAGUCUUGAGUACAGUUGAGGUAGGCGGAAUUCGUGGUGUAGCGGUGAAAUGCUUAGAGAUCACGAAGAACUCCGAUUGCGAAGGCAGCUCAC
rnacentral:rRNA from 1 species